GUGGAUAUUCAACUGCUGCAUUAUCCAGUCGAUACAAUGUAGCUGGACUAUACCACACAGAUUAAACAUGGUUCUCACCGACAGGCCCUGUAGAGUUUGCAGGUUUUCUGUGCGAUAGUUCCGAACAUA